UCCAAGAUUGAUAGCUGCCACGAAACCCUUCGGCGGAGCGGAGCGGCGUUUUUAAGCCUCGUCUCGCGCUCUGCUCCCAAUCCUCUUCCGCCGCCUCCUCCUCCUCCUCCCAAGUUUUAAGGCGUCGUCUCUCCCUCGGUUUUCUAGGGUUUAAGGCGUCGCUCUCGGGAUCGAGACGGAAGUGGAGGAGAUGGAUGCAUCUCCUUAAUUAAGGAAAUGGUUUACAAGGCUUAGCCUUUUAAGGUUCUGCCAGCAAGCUGGUGAUGGCUGGCUGUUACAGCAAUCAGUGUGAGCACUGACAUCAUAUGAACAAUUGGGACUUUGCUAUGUGGAGGCUUGGAGGCCCUGUACAUCGUAUUCCUUCUACCAUGCACUUUAUUUCCCCUAACAUUUUUACUUUUCAUGUAACAGUUAUGUUGGGUGGUCCUAUUAGGACAAUGAUUAUUAAUUAUAAUUGUUUUAGAUGUUUGCAGUGAUGGUAAAGUAUUUCCUUUCAGCCAUUUGAAUCUGUAUCAACUAGAUGCAGGAAAGUGGCCUUCAAACAACAUAGUAGACAUUACAUGCGACUGUCCUGUAACUAAUUUCCUGCUGAUUAAUAUUUUUCAAAAUCUAUUC